rnacentral:rRNA from 1 species
AUACGUAGGGGGCGAGCGUUGUCCGGAAUGAUUGGGCGUAAAGGGCGCGUAGGCGGCCCGGUAAGUCUGGAGUGAAAGUCCUGUUUUUAAGAUGGGAAUUGCUUUGGAUACUGUCGGCCUUGAGUGCAGGAGAGGUAAGUGGAAUUCCCAGUGUAGCGGUGAAAUGCGUAGAGAUUGGGAGGAACACCAGUGGCGAAGGCGACUUACUGGACUGUAACUGACGCUGAGGCGCGAAAGUGUGGGGAGCAAACAGGAUUAGAUACCCUGGUAGUCCACACUGUAAACGAUGAAUGCUAGGUGUAGGGGGUAUCGACCCCUUCUGUGCCGCAGUCAACACAAUAAGCAUUCCGCCUGGGGAGUACGGCCGCAAGGUUGAAACUCAAAGGAAUUGACGGGG